UUGAAAGGGAACCCUUCGGGGUUCAACCUUAAACCCUUUGACUUAAUCACCUGUUUCUUUGGCGGGCUUGCCCGUCAGAAGUUUUCUCAAACCCAUUAUAAAUGUGUCAUCUGAAAACAACAUUAAAUAAAACA
rnacentral:misc_RNA from 1 species